rnacentral:lncRNA from 1 species
GGGCAGCGUCUCUGUGAAAACUACACUACCCACAAUGCCACUAUCCGAGUGGCAACAGGCCAACCCAAUGAGCCCUCAGAAGAGGGUUGUUUCCGUGUUGGGCCACAGAUUCAGGGCGGUACUUCCUGCCCAGCUGCCGGUUGGUCCUCCGAGCAGCUCUGGAGUGUAUUGACCUUAGGAAAUUCAGGAAUGUGACUCAGAACAAGGUGGCGACACCGGAGAGACGCGGGGGCAGGGUCGACCCCGCUGCCCACCAGCUGGUACGAGGGGCGGCUACGGUGGAAUCGAUGGCGGCGGCCGGCUCAAAGGCCCCGGCCCAGGCUUCUGCAGGGGCGUGCUGUGCCAGAUGGAGCACUUGACACUGUGCCUCUAACUUUCCGUCACCAGCAGAAUUCAGCCUCAAAGGGUGUCAUAAAAUUAUAGUUAUUCAGGAGCACAAAUCCACAACUCUAUGAAGUUAAGGUGAAGCUAACGUUGACACUAGCUCCCUGCUGCUCCCAGCCUUCAGAAAGCACAAGGCUGGCACUUGGUGUGGAUCCUCCAGGAGAGAUUUCCCCAGGAGCUCGCAAGCUCCCUCUGCUGGACCUCGGCCUGGUGAAGCCUGCUCGGUCCCUAUCCAAGUCCUGAGACUCCAACUCCGCAAGGAAUCAUUGCUGGUGAGGUUAGGACCUUGAAACCCACAGUCAGGACCCACUGGUUAACUGACAUGUAUGUUUCACUUUCACCCUCUAAACAUUAAUGACUACAAUUACACAAUGACGAACACAACUGAAAUAAGAUUCCAAAAUACCUAGAUCUUCUCUUAUUGAAAAUAAACAGCUCUGAAAAAAAUCACAACUUUCAGACUCUAAAGAAAGGCUGCUGACAUAUAGUGUGUUAGUAAGAGUAAUGUUUUUUGAACGAUGUAGAUAUGUACACUUUAUGCAUGCAGAACGUUUCAAAUGACUUCUUUUUCAUACCUCUUAAUUUAUUCCAAUUUUUGAAUAGUAUUUAAUUCAUUGUGGUUUGUGACAGAAACAAAAUUUAAAUUCUGUAUUAUAGAAAUAUAAGCCAUAAGAUUUUGUCAUGUUAAUAUAUGUUAGAUUUAAAAUAAUAUAAUGUCCUUUGCAAUUUUUUAAGAAUUUUUGUUUAUUUGCCAAGCAGACUUAUUUUUAAACAUGUAAAUGUAACUAGUAAGUAUUGACUGUUCAUAUAUUUGCCAUCACUUGUUUUUCAUCUUUCAUUUUCUUAGUAAUAUCAUUUCUCACACUAGUGUUGAUAGCUUCCUAUUAUAUGUUGUAUCUAAUUAAAUAUUUUACAUUUAAUUUUAAUAUGCAUAAUACAG